AGAGUUUGAUCCUGGCUCAGGACGAACGCUGGCGGCGCGCCUAACACAUGCAAGUCGAACGAGCGAGAGAGAGCUUGCUUUCUCGAGCGAGUGGCGAACGGGUGAGUAACGCGUGAGGAACCUGCCUCAAAGAGGGGGACAACAGUUGGAAACGACUGCUAAUACCGCAUAAGCCCACGACCCGGCAUCGGGUAGAGGGAAAAGGAGCAAUCCGCUUUGAGAUGGCCUCGCGUCCGAUUAGCUAGUUGGUGAGGUAACGGCCCACCAAGGCGACGAUCGGUAGCCGGACUGAGAGGUUGAACGGCCACAUUGGGACUGAGACACGGCCCAGACUCCUACGGGAGGCAGCAGUGGGGAAUAUUGCACAAUGGGGGAAACCCUGAUGCAGCGACGCCGCGUGGAGGAAGAAGGUCUUCGGAUUGUAAACUCCUGUUGUUGAGGAAGAUAAUGACGGUACUCAACAAGGAAGUGACGGCUAACUACGUGCCAGCAGCCGCGGUAAAACGUAGGUCACAAGCGUUGUCCGGAAUUACUGGGUGUAAAGGGAGCGCAGGCGGGAAGACAAGUUGGAAGUGAAAUCUAUGGGCUCAACCCAUAAACUGCUUUCAAAACUGUUUUUCUUGAGUAGUGCAGAGGUAGGCGGAAUUCCCGGUGUAGCGGUGGAAUGCGUAGAUAUCGGGAGGAACACCAGUGGCGAAGGCGGCCUACUGGGCACCAACUGACGCUGAGGCUCGAAAGUGUGGGUAGCAAACAGGAUUAGAUACCCUGGUAGUCCACACCGUAAACGAUGAUUACUAGGUGUUGGAGGAUUGACCCCUUCAGUGCCGCAGUUAACACAAUAAGUAAUCCACCUGGGGAGUACGACCGCAAGGUUGAAACUCAAAGGAAUUGACGGGGGCC
rnacentral:rRNA from 1 species